rnacentral:rRNA from 1 species
AUUGAACGCUGGCGGCAGGCUUAACACAUGCAAGUCGAGCGAGCGGCGGACGGGUGAGUAAUGUCUGGGAAACUGCCUGAUGGAGGGGGAUAACUACUGGAAACGGUAGCUAAUACCGCAUACCAUCAGAUGUGCCCAGAUGGGAUUAGCUACUAGGGGGGGUAAUGGCUCACCUAGGCGACGAUCCCUAGCUGGUCUGAGAGGUUGACCAGCCACACGGGAACUGAGACCCGGGCCAGACUCCUACGGGAGGCAGCAGUGGGGAAUAUUGCAAAAUGGGCGAAAGCCGUAUGCAGCCAUGCCGCGGGUGUGAAGAAGGCCUUCGGGUUGUAAAGCCCUUUCAGCGAGGAGGCGUUACUCGCAGAAGAAGCACCGGCUAACUCCGGGCCAGCAGCCGCGGUAAUAC